GAGAGUUCUACAUGUUGUAUCUGAAAGUGGUGACAUGCCGAAUGCCGAGUGGUGACAUGCUGACUUGUGCUGAAAAUCUGUGUCAUUUUUAAAUGCAGAAAAGUUUUGACAUUUCUACAUCUUAACAUUUGUAGUUUAUUACCUAAAGUGGAUCAUGUCAAGAUCUGGGCCUCUCAGGCAGACCCUGAUAUUUGUUAUUGUUUCUGAGACCUGGUUAACUGAUAAAACCCUGGACGUUGCUAUGGAUGGUUAUAAUGUGUUUAGGGCUGGUAGGAAAGGUAACAGUGGUGGUGUUUCUAUGGAUGGUUACAAUGUGUUUAGGGCUGGUAGGAAAGGUAACAGUGGUGGUGUUUCUAUGGAUGGUUACAAUGUGUUUAGGGCUGGUAGGAAAGGCAACGGUGGUGGUGUUUCUAUGGAUGGUUACAAUGUGUUUAGGGCUGGUAGGAAAGGCAACGGUGGUGGUGUUUCUAUGGAUGGUUACAAUGUGUUUAGGGCUGGUAGGAAAGGCAACGGUGGUGGUGUUUCUAUGGAUGGUUACAAUGUGUUUAGGGCUGGUAGGAAAGGCAACGGUGGUGGUGUUUCUAUGGAUGGUUACAAUGUGUUUAGGGCUGGUAGGAAAGGCAACGGUGGUGGUGUUUCUAUGGAUGGUUACAAUGUGUUUAGGGCUGGUAGGAAAGGCAACGGUGGUGGUGUUUCUAUGGAUGGUUACAAUGUGUUUAGGGCUGGUAGGAAAGGCAACGGUGGUGGUGUUUCUAUGGAUGGUUACAAUGUGUUUAGGGCUGGUAGGAAAGGCAACGGUGGUGGUGUUUCUAUGGAUGGUUACAAUGUGUUUAGGGCUGGUAGGAAAGGCAACGGUGGUGGUGUUUCUAUGGAUGGUUACAAUGUGUUUAGGGCUGGUAGGAAAGGUAACGGUGGUGGUGUUUCUAUGGAUGGUUACAAUGUGUUUAGGGCUGGUAGGAAAGGUAACGGUGGUGGUGUUUCUAUGGAUGGUUACAAUGUGUUUAGGGCUGGUAGGAAAG